rnacentral:rRNA from 1 species
AUGAACGCUAGCGGCAGGCUUAACACAUGCAAGUCGAGGGGCAGCGCGGGAUAGCAAUAUCCUGGCGGCGACCGGCGGAAGGGUGCGUAACGCGUGAGCGACAUGCCCGUUGCCCGGGGACAACCGGUGGAAACGCCGACUAAUCCCCGAUGGGAUAUUGUGCCGCAUGGCACGAUAUUGAAAGUUACGGCGGCGACGGAUUGGCUCGCGUCCGAUUAGCUUGUUGGCGGGGUAACGGCCCACCAAGGCUACGAUCGGUAGGGGUUCUGAGAGGAAGGCCCCCCACAAUGGGACUGAGACACGGCCCAUACUCCUACGGGAGGCAGCAGUGAGGAAUAUUGGUCAAUGGGCGGAAGCCUGAACCAGCCAUGCCGCGUGCGGGAAGGAGGCCCUAUGGGCUGUGAACCGCUUUUGCCUGGGGGCAAUAAGGGCGUCGCGCACGUCCGAUGAGAGUACCAGGCGAAUAAGCAUCGGCUAACUCCGUGCCAGCAGCCGCGGUAAUACGGGGGAUGCGAGCGUUAUCCGGAUUCAUUGGGUUUAAAGGGUGCGUAGGCUGUGCGUCAAGUCGGGGGUGAAAUUCCGGUGCUCAACACCGGGGCUGCCCUUGAUACUGUCGCGCUGGAGUGCGGAUGCCGCCGGAGGAAUGAGUGGUGUAGCGGUGAAAUGCUUAGAUAUCACUCAGAACACCGAUUGCGAAGGCAUCUGGCGAAUCCGUAACUGACGCUGAGGCACGAAAGCGUGGGGAUAGAACAGGAUUAGAUACCCUGGUAGUCCACGCCGUAAACGAUGAAUACUAGGUGUAGGGGUUGUCAUGACCUCUGUGCCGCCGCUAACGCAUUAAGUAUUCCGCCUGGGGAGUACGGUCGCAAGAUUAAAACUCAAAGGAAUUGACGGGGGCCCGCACAAGCGGAGGAACAUGUGGUUUAAUUCGAUGAUACGCGAGGAACCUUACCCGGGCUCGAACGGCACCUGAAUCGCCCAGAGAUGGGCGAGUCUUCGGACAGGUGUCGAGGUGCUGCAUGGUUGUCGUCAGCUCGUGCCGUGAGGUGUCGGCUCAAGUGCCAUAACGAGCGCAACCCCUGCCGCCAGUUGCCAUCAGGUCAUGCUGGGCACUCUGGCGGGACUGCCACCGCAAGGUGUGAGGAGGGGGGGGAUGACGUCAAAUCAGCACGGCCCUUACGUCCGGGGCGACACACGUGUUACAAUGGCGGCCACAGAGGGAUGCUACCCCGCGAGGGGAUGCGGAUCUCGAAAAGCCGUCCCAGUUCGGACUGGAGUCUGCAACCCGACUCCACGAAGUUGGAUUCGCUAGUAAUCGCGCAUCAGCCAUGGCGCGGUGAAUACGUUCCCGGGCCUUGUACACACCGCCCGUCAAGCCAUGGAAGCCGCGGGCGCCUGAAGUCCGUGACCGUAAGGAGCGGCCUAGGGCGAAAGUGGUAACUGGGGCU